UACGUAGGGCGCAAGCGUUAUCCGGAAUUAUUGGGCGUAAAGAGCUCGUAGGCGGUGUGUCGCGUCGGCCGUGAAAACCUGGGGCUCAACUCUGGGCGUGCGGUCGAUACGGGCAGACUAGAGUUCGGCAGGGGAGACUGGAAUUCCUGGUGUAGCGGUGAAAUGCGUAGAUAUCUGGAGGAACACCGGUGGCGAAGGCGGCAUCCUGGACCGGCAUUGACGCUGAGGCGCGAAAGCUAGGGGAGCAAACGGGG
rnacentral:rRNA from 1 species